rfam:Picea glauca, whole genome shotgun sequence.
GUAUGUUCGGAGACAUCCGAUAAAAUUAGAAUGAUACAAAGAAGAUUAGCAUGGCCCCUGUGCAAGGAUGACACACACAAAACGAGAAAUGGUCCAAAUGUGA